rnacentral:rRNA from 1 species
GGGGAACUGAAACAUCUAAGUACCCCGAGGAAAAGAAAUCAACCGAGAUUCCCCCAGUAGCGGCGAGCGAACGGGGAGCAGCCCAGAGUCUGAAUCAGCUUGUGUGUUAGUGGAACGGUCUGGAAAGUCCGACGGUACAGGGUGAUAGUCCCGUACACCAAAAUGCACAGGCUGUGAACUCGAAGAGUAGGGCGGGACACGUGGUAUCCUGUCUGAAUAUGGGGGGGACCAUCCUCCAAGGCUAAAUACUCCUGACUGACCGAUAGUGAACCAGUACCGUGAGGGAAAGGCGAAAAGAACCC